AAUUCUCUUGAUUCCCUCCUUUACAAUUUCAGAUCCUAUUGGCUAGGAGAUGUUCAAGACCACAUUGUUAUUGCCAUUUGAACAUGUUGACCAAAGAAGAGCAAAUUCGUAGGAAAACCAAAGCCCCACUAUAAAGGUAGUAGAAGAGUAAUAGCUUUUAAAUACCUCAAAUUCAGAGUUGUUACUUAUAUUUUAAAUUUUAACACGAAAAAUAUUAUAGAAUUAAAUGUUCUUUCACCAGACAAUUAUUGCUCAUAGAUUGUAUCGUGUUGAGAUUGCACAAAUUACAAGUACUACUCAACAACAUAAAAACAAAAGGAACAAAGGACACAAACAAAAUUUAUAACUCUUCAUAGAUUGAAAAAGAUAAAAUUUCCUAUCUGAAAAAUAAAAAGGAAGAAUAUUCUAUGGAGUUUAUAUUUCCUUUUUGCCUCGAUCAUUUGCCGCAGCAUUUAAUCUGAUUACAAAUUAAUAUUGUUCAGCUCCUUUCAAAUAAUCCUGUUGCAAACACAAAAAAUUAAAAAGUGAGAAGACUUAAUAGCAACUUGAUUGUAGUCGCAAUUUACUCUAUAACAUGACCGACAUGUUACAUGCGUGUAGCAAUGAGUGUAUACUUCAUUCGUGACAGGACUACAAACCGGUGAAGUAUUGUCUCGAAGCAAUGCAAUAUUUUAUAAUUCCCAAUUGUCCUGAGAGACAUUUGAAAAGAUGCAAAGAUACUACAGGAACAAAUGUUAAAGUGCUAAUACUUGAACCUACAGAGAUCUACAUAAAUGCAUUUUGUAAGUGGAGUAAACACUGCCUAUAUAAAUCAAAACUGAAUGUCCCAGAAAUAAUAUAUAUCAAGACCGACAUCCUAGACGGUAAGAAGAUCGAGAGUUCAAUUUCUAAACUAUUGAAACCCAUUAAGAACCAGUAGUAGACUUGAUACAACAAAGAAAAAAAAACAGUUUACUUUCAAGAUGUAUAUUUUUAUUUGAAGAACUUUGGAGAAUACCAUCAUUGCGAAUACGAAAAAGAAAAAUACUGAAGCUCCAUGAUAUAUGUUGAUGACAUUAUAUUAUCCAUAGCCUACUAUUUUGGUGUAACUAUGUUUUAUUCGUAGAAAAUAUAUAGUCCAUAAGCUACAAAGCAUUAUCUUGUAAGAAAUUUGAUUUAUCGUUAUUAAGUAAAACAUUAAAUAAACUAAGUCAUGCCCAUUACUUGCAUUCUCCAUCAACGAUGUCCAUAAUUUUCUAAUCCUUCUUCAGAGCAAAGUGUCAGACACAUAUAGAACAUGUCAAAGAAAAUAAAACACUCAGGCAUAGUAGCACAUCUAUAUAUAGCAUAGCAGAAAGAAAAAAAACUCACAAAAUAGAGAAACAUGCCGAAUAUGUUCAUGAUCAGCAUUGUCGUAGAGGUUGCU
rnacentral:lncRNA from 1 species